CGAGAAAGAAGGGAAUUGAACCCCUAUAAAUUGGUUUCAAGCCAACCACAUGACCACUCUGCCACUUUCUU
rnacentral:tRNA from 1 species